rnacentral:lncRNA from 1 species
UUGGAAGAACAUUAUGAAGUUUGAUGAAUCGUACAGCCAUAUUAAUUUUUAUUUUUAUUUUGGUGUAACAACCAUAAUUAUUUUUCCCCAAACUUAAAUAAGAACCUGAAAUGAUGACAGAGGUAUACUUUUACAGCAUGAUAGGAAUAGUUACUGAUAUAAAUAAAUGUAACUUGUCACCCAGUGCUAAUAAAAAACAGCUAGAAAUCGCUAAUUUAUCCAACUUUACAAUUUAAUUAACCUUAUAUGGAUUACUAUAGAAUCAAUUUGAUUCCAACUUUUUGUAGUGGAAGAAAGUUUUCUUUUUUUUUUUUGCUAAAAUAGUGGAAGAAAGUUUCCAAUGUCGAAAUAUCGUCACUCUGUAUUAAAACAAUUUAACGUUCCAAAACGAGAAACUAAGUGACUGUAUUUUGAUUCAUACUUUUUCUAUUUGUCUGGAAUUUACAUCUGAGAUCCGGUCCUUUCUAAUUUACCUUUUAUGUUUUAACCAAUGUUUUUGGCCGGCUUGUCCCAGUACAACAAUCGACCACACACACUCAACUUUUAUGAAACCACCUAAAAGGAUAAUGGACUUGGGACACGAAACUCAACCCUACUUUCC